UACGUAGGGGGCAAGCGUUGUCCGGAUUUAUUGGGUUUAAAGGGUGCGUAGGCGGCCCUGUAAGUCAGUGGUGAAAUAUCUCAGCUUAACUGAGAGGGUGCCAUUGAUACUGCAGGGCUUGAGUACAGAUGAGGUAGGCGGAAUUGACGGUGUAGCGGUGAAAUGCAUAGAUAUCGUCAAGAACACCGAUAGCGAAGGCAGCUUACCAAGCUGUAACUGACGCUGAGGCACGAAAGUGUGGGGAUCAAACAGG
rnacentral:rRNA from 1 species